GAUGAACGCUGGCGGCGUGCCUAAUACAUGCAAGUCGAGCGAACAGACGAGGAGCUUGCUCCUCUGACGUUAGCGGCGGACGGGUGAGUAACACGUGGAUAACCUACCUAUAAGACUGGGAUAACUUCGGGAAACCGGAGCUAAUACCGGAUAAUAUAUUGAACCGCAUGGUUCAAUAGUGAAAGACGGUUUUGCUGUCACUUAUAGAUGGAUCCGCGCCGCAUUAGCUAGUUGGUAAGGUAACGGCUUACCAAGGCGACGAUGCGUAGCCGACCUGAGAGGGUGAUCGGCCACACUGGAACUGAGGCACGGUCCAGACUCCUACGGGAGGCAGCAGUAGGGAAUCUUCCGCAAUGGGCGAAAGCCUGACGGAGCAACGCCGCGUGAGUGGUGAAGGUCUUCGGAUCGUAAAACUCUAUUAUUAGGGAAGAACAAAUGUGUAAGUAACUAUGCACGUCUUGACGGUACCUAAUCAGAAAGCCACGGCUAACUACGUG
rnacentral:rRNA from 1 species